GGCGGGUGGCGCUCGAUGGUGGGCAACUAGUCUCGAAAACUAGGCUAACCGCAAGGUUAAGGGUUCGACUCCUUCACUCGCCGCCA
rnacentral:tRNA from 1 species